rnacentral:rRNA from 1 species
GACGAACGCUGGCGGCGUGCUUAACACAUGCAAGUCGAACGGAAAGGCCCUGCUUUUGUGGGGUGCUCGAGUGGCGAACGGGUGAGUAACACGUGAGUAACCUGCCCUUGACUUUGGGAUAACUUCAGGAAACUGGGGCUAAUACCGGAUAGGAGCUCCUGCUGCAUGGUGGGGGUUGGAAAGUUUCGGCGGUUGGGGAUGGACUCGCGGCUUAUCAGCUUGUUGGUGGGGUAGUGGCUUACCAAGGCUUUGACGGGUAGCCGGCCUGAGAGGGCGACCGGCCACAUUGGGACUGAGAUACGGCCCAGACUCCUACGGGAGGCAGCAGUGGGGAAUAUCGCACAAUGGGCGGAAGCCUGAUGCAGCAACGCCGCGUGCGGGAUGACGGCCUUCGGGUUGUAAACCGCUUUCGCCUGUGACGAAGCGUGAGUGACGGUAAUGGGUAAAGAAGCACCGGCUAACUACGUG